rnacentral:rRNA from 1 species
AAGAGUUUGAUCAUGGCUCAGAUUGAACGCUGGCGGCAGGCCUAACACAUGCAAGUCGAACGGUAACAGGAAGCAGCUUGCUGCUUUGCUGACGAGUGGCGGACGGGUGAGUAAUGUCUGGGAAACUGCCUGAUGGAGGGGGAUAACUACUGGAAACGGUAGCUAAUACCGCAUAACGUCGCAAGACCAAAGAGGGGGACCUUCGGGCCUCUUGCCAUCGGAUGUGCCCAGAUGGGAUUAGCUAGUAGGUGGGGUAAAGGCUCACCUAGGCGACGAUCCCUAGCUGGUCUGAGAGGAUGACCAGCCACACUGGAACUGAGACACGGUCCAGACUCCUACGGGAGGCAGCAGUGGGGAAUAUUGCACAAUGGGCGCAAGCCUGAUGCAGCCAUGCCGCGUGUAUGAAGAAGGCCUUCGGGUUGUAAAGUACUUUCAGCGGGGAGGAAGGGAGUAAAGUUAAUACCUUUGCUCAUUGACGUUACCCGCAGAAGAAGCACCGGCUAACUCCGUGCCAGCAGCCGCGGUAAUACGGAGGGUGCAAGCGUUAAUCGGAAUUACUGGGCGUAAAGCGCACGCAGGCGGUUUGUUAAGUCAGAUGUGAAAUCCCCGGGCUCAACCUGGGAACUGCAUCUGAUACUGGCAAGCUUGAGUCUCGUAGAGGGGGGUAGAAUUCCAGGUGUAGCGGUGAAAUGCGUAGAGAUCUGGAGGAAUACCGGUGGCGAAGGCGGCCCCCUGGACGAAGACUGACGCUCAGGUGCGAAAGCGUGGGGAGCAAACAGGAUUAGAUACCCUGGUAGUCCACGCCGUAAACGAUGUCGACUUGGAGGUUGUGCCCUUGAGGCGUGGCUUCCGGAGCUAACGCGUUAAGUCGACCGCCUGGGGAGUACGGCCGCAAGGUUAAAACUCAAAUGAAUUGACGGGGGCCCGCACAAGCGGUGGAGCAUGUGGUUUAAUUCGAUGCAACGCGAAGAACCUUACCUGGUCUUGACAUCCACGGAAGUUUUCAGAGAUGAGAAUGUGCCUUCGGGAACCGUGAGACAGGUGCUGCAUGGCUGUCGUCAGCUCGUGUUGUGAAAUGUUGGGUUAAGUCCCGCAACGAGCGCAACCCUUAUCCUUUGUUGCCAGCGGUCCGGCCGGGAACUCAAAGGAGACUGCCAGUGAUAAACUGGAGGAAGGUGGGGAUGACGUCAAGUCAUCAUGGCCCUUACGACCAGGGCUACACACGUGCUACAAUGGCGCAUACAAAGAGAAGCGACCUCGCGAGAGCAAGCGGACCUCAUAAAGUGCGUCGUAGUCCGGAUUGGAGUCUGCAACUCGACUCCAUGAAGUCGGAAUCGCUAGUAAUCGUGGAUCAGAAUGCCACGGUGAAUACGUUCCCGGGCCUUGUACACACCGCCCGUCACACCAUGGGAGUGGGUUGCAAAAGAAGUAGGUAGCUUAACCUUCGGGAGGGCGCUUACCACUUUGUGAUUCAUGACUGGGGUGAAGUCGUAACAAGGUAACCGUAGGGGAACCUGCGGUUGGAUCACCUCCUUACCUUAAAGAAGC